rnacentral:rRNA from 1 species
CCUACGGGAGGCAGCAGUGGGGAAUUUUGGACAAUGGGCGCAAGCCUGAUCCAGCAAUGCCGCGUGCAGGAUGAAGGCCUUCGGGUUGUAAACUGCUUUUGUACGGAACGAAAAAGUCUGCCUUAAUACGGUGGGCUCAUGACGGUACCGUAAGAAUAAGCACCGGCUAACUACGUGCCAGCAGCCGCGGUAAUACGUAGGGUGCGAGCGUUAAUCGGAAUUACUGGGCGUAAAGCGUGCGCAGGCGGUUAUAUAAGACAGAUGCGAAAUCCCCGGGCUCAACCUGGGACCUGCAUUUGUGACUGUAUAGCUAGAGUACGGUAGAGGGGGAUGGAAUUCCGCGUGUAGCAGUGAAAUGCGUAGAUAUGCGGAGGAACACCGAUGGCGAAGGCAAUCCCCUGGACCUGUACUGACGCUCAUGCACGAAAGCGUGGGGAGCAAACAGGAUUAGAUACCCUGGUAGUCCACGCCCUAAACGAUGUCAACUGGUUGUUGGGUCUUCACUGACUCAGUAACGAAGCUAACGCGUGAAGUUGACCGCCUGGGGAGUACGGCCGCAGGUUGAAACUCAAAUGAAUUGACGG